GCGGCAGCGCGGGGGCAACCCUGGCGGCGAGCGGCGAACGGGUGAGUAACACAUCGGAACGUACCCUGUCGUGGGGGAUAGCCCGGCGAAAGCCGGAUUAAUACCGCAUACGACCUGAGGGUGAAAGCGGGGGAUCGCAAGACCUCGCGCGAUAGGAGCGGCCGAUGGCGGAUUAGCUAGUUGGUGAGGUAAAAACUCACCAAGGCGACGAUCCGUAGCUGGUCUGAGAGGACGACCAGCCACACUGGAACUGAGACACGGUCCAGACUCCUACGGGAGGCAGCAGUGGGGAAUUUUGGACAAUGGGGGCAACCCUGAUCCAGCCAUUCCGCGUGAGUGAAGAAGGCCUUCGGGUUGUAAAGCUCUUUCGGCAGGAACGAAACGGUGGAGGCUAAUACCUUUCAUCAAUGACGGUACCUGAAGAAGAAGCACCGGCUAACUACGUGCCAGCAGCCGCGGUAAUACGUAGGGUGCGAGCGUUAAUCGGAAUUACUGGGCGUAAAGCGUGCGCAGGCGGUUCUAUAAGACAGAUGUGAAAUCCCCGGGCUUAACCUGGGAACUGCGUUUGUGACUGUAGGACUGGAGUGUGGCAGAGGGGGGUGGAAUUCCACGUGUAGCAGUGAAAUGCAUAGAGAUGUGGAGGAACACCGAUGGCGAAGGCAGCCCCCUGGGUUAACACUGACGCUCAUGCACGAAAGCGUGGGGAGCAAACAGGAUUAGAUACCCUGGUAGUCCACGCCCUAAACGAUGCGAACUAUGUGUUGGAGAAGGAGACUUCUUUAGUACCGUAGCUAACGCG
rnacentral:rRNA from 1 species